GAUGAACGCUGGCGGCGUGCUUAACACAUGCAAGUCGAACGAACCUUCGGGUUAGUGGCGGACGGGUGAGUAACGCGUGAGAAUCUGCCCUCAGGAGGGGGAUAACGGUUGGAAACGACCGCUAAUACCCCAUAUGCCUACUGGUGAAAUGAAUUUCGCCUGAGGAUGAGCUCGCGUCUGAUUAGCUAGUUGGUGAGGUAAUGGCUCACCAAGGCUUCGAUCAGUAGCUGGUCUGAGAGGAUGAUCAGCCACACUGGGACUGAGACACGGCCCAGACUCCUACGGGAGGCAGCAGUGGGGAAUUUUCCGCAAUGGGCGAAAGCCUGACGGAGCAACGCCGCGUGAGGGACGGAGGCUUCUGGGCUGUAAACCUCUUUUCUCAAGGAAGAAGAUAUGACGGUACUUGAGGAAUAAGCCACGGCUAAUUCCGUGCCAGCAGCCGCGGUAAUACGGGAGUGGCAAGCGUUAUCCGGAAUUAUUGGGCGUAAAGCGUCCGCAGGCGGCUUUUCAAGUCUGCUGUUAAAGCGUGGAGCUUAACUCCAUCAUGGCAGUGGAAACUGAAAGGCUUGAGUAUGGUAGGGGCAGAGGGAAUUCCCGGUGUAGCGGUGAAAUGUGUAGAUAUCGGGAAGAACACCAGUGGCGAAGGCGCUCUGCUGGGCCAUUACUGACGCUCAUGGACGAAAGCCAGGGGAGCGAAAGGGAUUAGAUACCCCUGUAGUCCUGGCCGUAAACGAUGAACACUAGGUGUCGGGGGAAUCGACCCCUUCGGUGUCGUAGCUAACGCGUUAAGUGUUCCGCCUGGGGAGUACGCACGCAAGUGUGAAGCUCAAAGGAAUUGACGGGGGCCCGCACAAGCGGUGGAGUAUGUGGUUUAAUUCGAUGCAACGCGAAGAACCUUACCAGGGUUUGACAUCCUGCGAACCUCUUAGAAAUUUGAGGGUGCCUUCGGGAAUGCAGUGACAGGUGGUGCAUGGCUGUCGUCAGCUCGUGUCGUGAGAUGUUGGGUUAAGUCCCGCAACGAGCGCAACCCACGUUUUUAGUUGCCAGCAUUUAGUUGGGCACUCUAGAAAGACCGCCGGUGAUAAACCGGAGGAAGGUGUGGAUGACGUCAAGUCAUCAUGCCCCUUACACCCUGGGCUACACACGUACUACAAUGCUACGGACAAAGGGCAGCAAACUCGCGAGAGCUAGCAAAUCCCAUAAACCGUGGCUCAGUUCAGAUCGUAGGCUGCAACUCGCCUACGUGAAGUAGGAAUCGCUAGUAAUCGCAGGUCAGCAUACUGCGGUGAAUACGUUCCCGGGCCUUGUACACACCGCCCGUCACACCAUGGAAGUUGGCCAUGCCCGAAGUCGUUACUCCAACCCUUGUGGAGGAGGACGCCGAAGGUGGGGCUAAUGACUGGGGUG
rnacentral:rRNA from 1 species